UACGGGGGGGGCAAGCGUUGUUCGGAAUUACUGGGCGUAAAGGGCGUGUAGGUGGCCAACUAAGUCCGACGUGAAAUCCCCAGGCUUAACCUGGGAACUGCGUCGGAUACUGGAUGGCUUGAAUUCGGGAGAGGGAUGCAGAAUUCCAGGUGUAGCGGUGAAAUGCGUAGAUAUCUGGAGGAAUACCGGUGGCGAAGGCGGCAUCCUGGACCAUUACUGACGCUGAGGCGCGAAAGCUAGGGGAGCAAACGGG
rnacentral:rRNA from 1 species